UGAGGCUGAGACUGAGACUGCGGCUGAGGCUGAAGCCAAUGGCAGCAAUGCAGCAUCAACAGCUGCCCCGAUCAGAUGCUGUCCAGGGUUAACGCUAACACAUUGAUUACGAACUGGCUCUGUUGCAUUCAACUCAAUUAUGAAACCGAGGAGUAAUUUCGUGCGGUAACACAUUACUGAACAUGGUUAGACGCAAUUGAAGAAUCCGCGUAUCCAUCGGAUACACAUAACAGCGACUGCAAUUGUGACCUUUGACCAGGGUGACGCUGGCCUUGAACCUUUCGCAUUGCCAUCAGAUUAUCAAUUCAAGGCUGUGACUUUAAUAUCUCGCCAAAAGCAACAACAACAGCUUGUACAUGUAUGUAGUUAAGAGAGACGAGACGAGACGAGACGAGGCGAGACGCAACGCAACGCGACGGGGCGGUUAGGAAUGUUAUAAACGCAAGGAGGCGAACGCAAAUAAUUCUCCCAUAGACGAUCCAACGAUCCGACGAUCCA